GGAUGAACGCUGGCGGCGUGCCUAAUACAUGCAAGUCGAGCGAACGGACGAGAAGCUUGCUUCUCUGAUGUUAGCGGCGGCCGGGUGAGUAACACGUGGAUAACCUACCUAUAAGGCUGGGAUAACUUCGGGAAACCGGAGCUAAUACCGGAUAAUAUUUUGAACCGCAUGGUUCAAAAGUGAAAGACGGUCUUGCUGUCACUUAUAGAUGGAUCCGCGCUGCAUUAGCUAGUUGGUAAGGUAACGGCUUACCAAGGCAACGAUGCAUAGCCGACCUGAGAGGGUGAUCGGCCACACUGGAACUGAGACACGGUCCAGACUCCUACGGGAGGCAGCAGUAGGGAAUCUUCCGCAAUGGGCGAAAGCCUGACGGAGCAACGCCGCGUGAGUGAUGAAGGUCUUCGGAUCGUAAAACUCUGUUAUUAGGGAAGAACAUAUGUGUAAGUAACUGUGCACAUCUUGACGGUACCUAAUCAGAAAGCCACGGCUAACUACGUG
rnacentral:rRNA from 1 species